rnacentral:rRNA from 1 species
UGCGGAGGAUCAUUAUCAAGUCUGCUUCUUGCAGCAAAACUAUUGUGUGUGAACGUUACUUUGAACCGUGUGGUGGUCUUUCGGGACUGCCAUACGGAUUUUAACCCAACCAUAAAACUUUUAUACUGAAGUUAUUGUAAACCUAGAAAACUUUUAGCAAUGAAUCUCUAGGCUCUUGCAUCGAUGAAGAACGCAGCGAAUCGCGAUAUGUAACGUGAAUUGCAGAAUUCGUGAAUCAUCAAAUCUUUGAACGCACGUUGCACUGCUUGGAAUUCCAGGCAGUAUGUCUGUUUGAGCAUCUUAACCAUAUACUCGAGCGAAGCAAUUCGCUUGGACUUGAGAAAUUGCCUGUAAAGGCACUUCUUGUAACAUAUCGAUACCAUGGGAUGUGGUAUCAUUGAUGCAGCCAAGGUAUUGAUUGAGCUGGCGGAUCAGAGUUACGACUUUUGAUUUUGCAUGUGCUCUCAGUGAUCGUGGUCGGUGUCAACUACAACAAGAUCUCAAAUCAGAUAAGACUACCCGCUGAACUUAAGCAUAUCAAUAAGCGGAGGAA